rnacentral:SRP_RNA from 1 species
GCAGCAGCAACAGCGAGGUCGUGACGGGUGCGUCGGCCUGCU